UGGAAGUGAAACUAACUCAAAACCUUCAUGUAGUAUUUUCAUCUGUGAAACUCCACAUUGAUGGAUGAUAUAUUACACCGUAGCAGCACUUUGUAUACUUUAGUCAACUGUCUCUUAUUGUAUUGUGUUUGGCACAAGGUGGAAGAUGCAGUAUGUAGUGUUUAACUCUCAUGCAUUACUAUAAAAACAGUGAAUAUUUAACCUGAA